rnacentral:rRNA from 1 species
CCUACGGGGGGCAGCAGUGGGGAAUAUUGCACAAUGGGCGCAAGCCUGAUGCAGCCAUGCCGCGUGUGGGAAGAAGGCCUUCGGGUUGUAAAGCACUUUCAGCGGGGAGGAAGGCGGUGAGGUUAAUAACCUCAUCGAUUGACGUUACCCGCAGAAGAAGCACCGGCUAACUCCGUGCCAGCAGCCGCGGUAAUACGGAGGGUGCAAGCGUUAAUCGGAAUUACUGGGCGUAAAGCGCACGCAGGCGGUCUGUCAAGUCGGAUGUGAAAUCCCCGGGCUCAACCUGGGAACUGCAUUCGAAACUGGCAGGCUAGAGUCUUGUAGAGGGGGGUAGAAUUCCAGGUGUAGCGGUGAAAUGCGUAGAGAUCUGGAGGAAUACCGGUGGCGAAGGCGGCCCCCUGGACAAAGACUGACGCUCAGGUGCGAAAGCGUGGGGAGCAAACAGGAUUAGAUACCCCAGUAGUC